CACAAAUGAGUGAUCAAGAUUCAAGAACAACAGAAGAAACUCGAUCUGCCACCAAAUGAAAAAAAAAAAAAAUAACUGCUGUUAGAUUUUUCAAAAUCAUCUGAAAUUUCUGAUAAAAUUUGAGGUCAGUUACGUGAAGGUUUUUUUCUUUUUUUUAGGCCCGGUUUAAGCCGUAUUCUUUCAUAAAAAAUAUAUUCUAUAACAUUGAUUUAAUAUCAUUUCAACUACACAUGUUUUAAUAAAAUAAUAUUACACGCAAAUUCAAAACUUUUCCUCAUUUUUUAACCACACAUUCUCCAUCAAUCUACUGUUCCAAAAUAUAUUAUUUCAAAAUAACGUGGCUCAAACAGACACUUACCUAUUUUCUUUGAUUCUAUCAUGACAAGUGCGACUUUUUAAAUUUUUAUGUGUUUAGUUUCUUGAAUUUGGAUUUGAAAAUGCCUCGAAUUGUUAGGGGGGUAAGUUUUGUAAUUAUGAUCAUUUUCAUUAAUUUGCAGUAGGAAGAUGAUAAGAAGGGAGAUUUGAUGCCAAUGGAGAAAUGCAGAAAGCAAAGAAAAAGGCGCUGUGCUCAACCACAUAGCAUGAAAGAGUGUGAGUUUAGUUUUUAAGCCCAAAAUAUAUAUAAAUAAAAUGAAAACUGUAGAACUACGUUGAAUGGGUCGGCCAGUCUGCCGGGCAAGCAUUUCUUGCAAGCAAGGUUUGACAAAUUUAUAAAGAGGAAUAGUAAUUGGUUUCACGAAACGUGUAGAUAAUAAAUAAG
rnacentral:lncRNA from 1 species